rnacentral:sRNA from 1 species
UAUUCUGCCCCAUGGGGAAGGAUGAGAAGCUUCGACUAAGGUUCGACUCGAGCGCCAGCGAGAGAACGUUGCCGCAGGCAACGGCCCGAAGGGCGCGGCGCUUUAGCGCCGAGUAAUCCUUCCCCCACCACCA